CCUACUACUACAAGUCUCCUCCACCACCAUCCCCAUCACCUCCCCCACCCUACUACUACCACUCUCCACCUCCACCUGUAAAGUCUCCUCCUCCACCCUAUUACUACAACUCACCUCCUCCACCAGUAUACAUUUAUGCUUCUCCACCACCUCCAACUCACUACUAAGUAUUUCCGAAAGCUCAACCAUUCUCCCAAAUCAAUCAAAUUUCAAUUUGAAGCACAAAAUAAAGGAUGGUUUCUUAAUUGAAAGAAUCAAACUUCAAUGGUACAAAUCAAUUAAUUUAUUGAAUGACAUCUUCUAUUUUACAAUUGGAAGAUUGAUACUUCAUGACAUGGACCAGUUUGCUUCAACUUCUCCUCUGGCCUUCUUGCUCAUUGUUCUCACUGCCACUUCAUGGAGAAAUAACUUAAUUAUUUCUUAUUACAAUAAGUUAUCAAUUAUAAUUGGUUCUUGAAUGUAUAUGAGCUUUCAUGUUUUUUAUUCCUUUAUCAAUUCAUUUCCUAUUAGUUAUAAUUGUAUGUUGUUUUGUACUUCGUGUACAAAUCAUGAAUAAGAAAGAUUAAUUUUAUUAUAUUCACUGUU